UCUCCGAGCUGCAUCACGAAGCUCUCGAGGCUCAACGAAAGUAAAGCUUAAGGCGCGCGCGUUUCGGCGCGCGCGCCUUGGCAAAUCCGGAAAGCGUUCGUCGCCUCUUCCCGAGGGGGGAGAAUGACGCGCUAGAUUGAUUCCGGCGCACGCCAGGGGCCCGUCCGCAUUCGGAUUCGAACGACGCGUUCGCUAAGCUUUCGAGCGUCGGCGAGCGCCUCUCGUCGAAACGAGGGCGGGCACUCCGAGCGCGCGGGUUAGUACCCGAAAGAUGGUGAUCUAUGCUUGUUUAGGACGAAGCCGGGGGAAACACCGGUGGAGGUUCGUAGCGAUUCUGACGUGCAAAUCGAUCGUCGGAGCUGAGUAUAGGGGCGAAAGACCAAUCGAACUAUCUAGUAGCUGGUUCCUUCCGAA
rnacentral:rRNA from 1 species